AUGGCGCGAACCCACGGCAAACCCAUUCCGAUUUCGUCCUUCGGGAAGGCCGUCGUACUCUGCUUGGCCCUGUUCGCCGCAUGGCGCCUCUGCUCGACCCUGUUCGCCGACGCGCCUCCUCGUCCUCGUUUCAAUGUCCGCGAUGCGUCGUGCCUGCCUCUCGCCAGGGAGGUCGGCGUCCGGGCGGCCGCCGGCACGGGAAGCAACUUCGUCGUCUCGCCGCUGUCGAUCCACGCGGCGCUCGCCAUGGUGACCGCAGGCGCGCGGGGCGACACGCGUAGGGAGCUCCUGCGAUUCCUCGGUUCAGCGUCGCUCAACGAGCUGCACCGCGCGCCAUCGAACGAGCUCGUCGGCAGGCUCAACGGCAUAGCGCAGACGUCCUUCGCCUGCGGCGUGUGGGUCGACCGGAGGCGGGCGCUCAGGCUAGAGUUCGCGGCCACCGGCGCGUCGCGGUACGGCGCCACGGCGGAAUCCGUGGACUUCGUGUCGGGGGCCGAGCAGGCGAGGCUGCGCGUGAACGCCUUCGUGGCGGACGCGACGAAGCAGCUCAUCCGCGACAUCCUCCCUCCCGGCUCCGUCGACUCGUCCACGGCGGUCGUGCUCGCCAACGCGCUCUACUUCAAAGGAGCGUGGUCUCACCCGUUCGACCUCUUCACGGCGCCGUUCCACGUCCCAGGCGGCACCACCGUGGGCGUGCCGUCCAUGACGACAGGCCGGUCACAGUACAUCGCGCUCUACCCGGGCUUCAGGGCACUCAAGCUGCCCUACAAGAACGACGUACUGCGGCAAGCUGAUGCAUUCUACAUGCUUAUUCUUCUCCCGGACAGCGGCACUCUCAGUCUCGCCGAUAUCUACGACAAGGCGGUGUCGACGCCAGAGUUCAUCAGGAAGCACAAGCCGGUGAAGAAGGUUCCGGUGGGGCGGUUCAUGGUGCCCAAGUUCAAGUUCACCUUCGAGUUCGAGGCGUCGUCGGAUAUGGGAAAGCUUGGUGUCACCAGGGCUUUCAAAGUCGGCGACUUCUCAGGCAUGGUGAGCAGCGGAGAUGGGCAUGGGCAGGUCUCCAUCUCCCGAGUGUACCAUAAGGCCGCCAUCGAGGUGGACGAGCAAGGCACCGUGGCCGUUGCUGCCACGGUCAUACGCAUGGAUGGUAGUGCGUUUGAGAAAAAGGAACCACCGCAUUUGGUAGAUUUUGUGGCGGAUCGGCCCUUCUUGUUUGCCGUGGUUGAGGAGAUGACAGGUUAA
rnacentral:rRNA from 1 species